GUAGGUGGCAAGCGUGUCCGGAAUUAUUGGGGCGUAAAGCGCGCGCAGGCGGUUCUUUAAGGGUCUGAAUGUGAAAGCCCACGGGCUCAACCGUGGAGGGUCAUUGGAAACUGGAGAACUUGAGUACAGAAGAGGAAAGCGGAAUUCCACGUGUAGCGGUGAAAUGCGUAGAGAUGUGGAGGAACACCAGUGGCGAAGGCGGCUUUCUGGUCUGUAACUGACGCUGAGGCGCGAAAGCGUGGGGAGCAAACAGGAUUAGAUACCCUGGUAGUCCACGCCGUAAACGAUGAGUGCUAAGUGUUAGGGGGUUUCCGCCCCUUAGUGCUGCAGCUAACGCAUUAAGCACUCCGCCUGGGGAGUACGGCCGCAAAGGCUG
rnacentral:rRNA from 1 species